UUUUAGACAGAUUUGAGUAGAUUUUGUAUUACUUGAGUAGAUCUUGUAUUACUUUAUAGUAGUUUUUAUUUGGUAGUAUUUUUUGGUCCUAGCGGUAGUAUCUUUUGUUGGUGACGAUAAUAUUUUUCGUUGCUGGCGGUAAUAGAUUUAUUUUUUACGGUAAUAGCUUUUGUUCACAUCGGUAGUAUCUUUUGUUGCUGGCGGUAAUAUCUUUUGUUGGUGACUGUAGUAGCUUUUGUUUACGGCGGUAAUAUCUUUGUUGAUAGUAGUUUUUCAUAUGCUUGGUAGUAUCUUUUGUGACCUCGCCGGAGGUCACCGGAAUCUUAGUAUCGUAGCUUUUGUAGCUGGUGGUAGUAGAUUUUGUUAUGUUCGGUAGUAUUUUUUGUUACUGGCGAUAGUAUUUUUUGUGACCUCGCCGGAGGUCGUCGAAGAUCUCACCAUAGUAGCUUUUAUAGCCGAUGAUAGUAGUUUUUAUAGCCGGUGAUAGUAGCCUUUGUUGCUAGUGACAGUAUCUUUUGCAAUCUUCAGUUACAUUGUCGGAGGUCAACGGUAAAAUUGUCAAAGGUCGGUCAGAAACUUUACCUGAAGUCAGCCAGCAGAGACCUGUCAGUGGUAGUAGCUUUCUUUGCUGGUCGUAGUAGCUUUUGUUGCUAUCGGUAAUAGCUUUCUUUGCUGGUGACAGUAGCCUUUUUUGUUAUCGGUAGUAUAUUUUGUUGUCAGUAGUAGCAGCUUUCUUUGCUGGCAGUAGUAGCUUUUGUUGCUAUCAGUAGUAGAUUUCUUUACUGGUGACAGUAAUUUUUUUUGCUAUCAGUAGUAUCUUUUGUUGUCAGUGGUAGUAGCUUUCUUUGUCAGUGAUAGUAGCUUUCUUUGUCAGCGGUAGUAGCUUUUGUUGUCACUGGUAGUAGCUUUUGUGGUCGCUAGAAUCCUCAUAGAUGGUCGGCCGGAAAGUUCGCCGGAGGUCGGUCGGAAAGUUCGCCGGAAGUCGGUUGGAAAUUUUGCCGGAGGUCAGUCGGAGACCAUUUAUGGUUGUUGACUUUUUAUAUUAGUGGCAUUUUUGUAAAUAUAAGAGAGAAAAUCUAAUUUUUUGGUUGGAUGGCAGUCUGUAAUUUUGUUGAACUUUAAUAUUUAAUAUAAGACUUUAUUUAGGCUUGGUGGACUUAUAUGGGUAAAAAUGUUUAGGUGGACUUAUAUAGAAGAAAAUGUCUCCAAGUGGACUUCUAUGUAAUUGCCCCAAUAUAAAAGGAUUAAGAUGGGCGUUUUUUGGAUAUCGGGUGGUUUCAAUCCUCGAUGUAUGGGAUAGAAACGAAAAAUAAAGAACACAGGAGUUUGUUUACGCAGUGAAACCUCAAUUUGAGAAAAAACACUGCUGGGGCUUUAACUCUUCAAAACCCCUAAUGAAAAGAGAAUUCACUAUGAAUCAAGAACGAGUCAAUUACAAACUUUGUAGCACUAACCGUGGCUACUAUCUCUAGAACCCUAACAGAUAUGUUUGAAGCACUCUUCUUCUUCGAUCUCCAAGGAACUAAUCAUGUCAUUGAUCCUUCAAUCACAUAAACAACAAGUUCAACUCAACAUGUAACAGUUAAACUUCGACAUUUUCUAUCAAUAUAAUUUGCAGCGGAAAUAUGCGUCAAAAGGUAGUCACUCCAGACUUUGAUACGCAGCAUAUAUGGGAGCACUGACUCCACCUUGCUUUAAAGUCCCAACCCUAAUUGACUUCCUACAAGGAAAAAUCUUAACAUUAAGAUAUAUGGUCAAUUAGAUGCAACAUUUUAUUAUCAAUAAAUG
rnacentral:lncRNA from 1 species